rnacentral:tRNA from 1 species
CCGGGCAGUAGCGGGCGGGCCCGCCGGGAGGCCUCUCGAAGGCCGCGGCCGUGGGCUGGUGCCAGAGGGUCGUUCGUGGCCGCCGGCCCGGU